rnacentral:rRNA from 1 species
GACGAACCGUGCGAACGUUAUUCGGAAUCACUGGGCUUAAAGCGCGUGUAGGCGGAAGGGCACGUCUGGUGCUGAAAUCCCCCGGCUCAACCGGGGAACGGGCACGGAUACGACUCUUCUGGAGGAACGUAGGGGGACCUGGAACUUCCGGUGGAGCGGUGAAAUGCGUUGAGAUCGGAAGGAACGCCCGUGGCGAAAGCGAGGUCCUGGACGUUUACUGACGCUGAGGAGCGAAAGCGUGGGGAGCGAACAGG